GACGAACGCUGGCGGCGUGCCUAAUACAUGCAAGUCGAACGCAUUUUCUUUCACCGUAGCUUGCUACACCGAAAGAAACUGAGUGGCGAACGGGUGAGUAACACGUGGGUAACCUGCCCAUCAGCGGGGGAUAACACUUGGAAACAGGUGCUAAUACCGCAUAAUUCCAUUUACCGCAUGGUAGAUGGAUGAAAGGCGCUUUUGCGUCACUGAUUGAUGGACUCGCGGUGCAUUAGCUAGUCGGUGGGGUAACGGCCUACCAAGGCUGCGAUGCAUAGCCGACAUGAGAGGGUGAUCGGCCACACUGGGACUGAGACACGGCCCAGACUCCUACGGGAGGCAGCAGUAGGGAAUCUUCGGCAAUGGACACAAGUCUGACCGAGCAACGCCGCGUGAGUGAAGAAGGUUUUCGGAUCGUAAAUCUCGGUUGUUAGAGAAGAACAAGGAUGAGAGUGGAAAGUUCAUCCCUUGACGGUAUCUAACCAGAAAGCCACGGCUAACUACGUG
rnacentral:rRNA from 1 species